rnacentral:rRNA from 1 species
UACGUAGGGUCCGAGCGUUGUCCGGAAUUAUUGGGCGUAAAGGGCUCGUAGGCGGUCUGUCGCGUCGGGAGUGAAAACUUACAGCUUAACUGUGAACUUGCUUUCGAUACGGGCAGACUUGAGGCAUUCAGGGGAGAACGGAAUUCCUGGUGUAGCGGUGAAAUGCGCAGAUAUCAGGAGGAACACCGGUGGCGAAGGCGGGUCUCUGGGCCGGUACUGACGCUAAGGAGCGAAAGCGUGGGGAGCGAACAGG